rnacentral:piRNA from 1 species
GUCAUCGAAGAGUACUUCAAGUGCAAGA